rnacentral:rRNA from 1 species
UACGAAGGGGGCUAGCGUUGUUCGGAAUCACUGGGCGUAAAGGGCGCGUAGGCGGCUUUAUAAGUCGGGGGUGAAAGCCUGUGGCUCAACCACAGAAUUGCCUUCGAUACUGUAGAGCUUGAGACCGGAAGAGGUAAGUGGAACUGCGAGUGUAGAGGUGAAAUUCGUAGAUAUUCGCAAGAACACCAGUGGCGAAGGCGGCUUACUGGUCCGGUUCUGACGUUGAGGCGCGAAAAGCGUGGGGGAGCAAACAGG